UACGGGGGGGGCUAGCGUUGCUCGGAAUCACUGGGCGUAAAGCGCACGUAGGCGGAUCUUUAAGUCAGGGGUGAAAUCCUGGAGCUCAACUCCAGAACUGCCUUUGAUACUGGGGAUCUCGAGUCCGGAAGAGGUGAGUGGAACUCCGAGUGUAGAGGUGAAAUUCGUAGAUAUUCGGAAGAACACCAGUGGCGAAGGCGGCUCACUGGUCCGGUACUGACGCUGAGGUGCGAAAGCGUGGGGAGCAAACAGG
rnacentral:rRNA from 1 species